UAGAUAUCUGCUUGGGGCAAAGAAUUUAAAUCAGUUAUUGGUUGGGAUAUGUUAUAAACCACCUCAUGUUGAUAUUGAUGAGGGACAACAGCUGUUUAAGCAAAUUGAAAAAGCUGCAAAUCUGGGUAACACGUUAAUUAUUGGAGAUUUUAAUUAUCUGGACAUAAAUUGGGACAGAGGGACUUGUAGUUCAGCAAAUGG